rnacentral:rRNA from 1 species
AUUGAACGCUGGCGGCAGGCCUAACACAUGCAAGUCGAACGAGUGGCGGACGGGCGAGUAAUGUCUGGGAAACUGCCAGAUGGAGGGGGAUAAAUACUGGAAACGGUAGAUAAUACCGUAACCCAUCAGAUGUGCCCAGAUGGGAUGAGCGAGUAGGUGGGGUAACGGCUCACCAAGGCGACGACCCCUCGGUGUGCUGAGAGGAUGACCAGCCACACGGGAACUGAGACACGGACCAGACUCCUACGGGGGGCAGCAGUGGGGAAUAUGGCACAAUGGGCGCAAGCCUGAUGCAGCCAUGCCGCGUGUAUGAAGAAGGCCUUCGGGUUGUAAAGUACUUGCAGCGGGGAGGCGUUACCCGCAGAAGAAGCACCGGCUAACUCCGUGCCAGCAGCCGCGGUAAUUC